AAUCGGCUGCUGCCUCUUGGACCUCACUGAACCCUAACUAUAUCAAGAUUUACUUUGAUGGAGCUGUUAGCAAAAGGUAGCAUUCAGGAUCGGUGACAGCCAUCGCUCAUAGCCAUCAGGGCUACCGUAGGGGGUUGGGUGUGCAAAAUCUUCAAAGAAGUAAUGGAUCCUGUGGUUCUGGAUGGCCUAGCCUGUCACAAAGCUUUACUGCUAGACAAAGCCAAGGGAAUAAAGGAAAUUGUUAGCAGCGGAGAAAUUGACUUUCAACGGUGUUUUCUCUGUAAUGGCGUUAAAUUAUUAAGCUUUUUAUUUUUUUUAAAUAAAAUUUAUGACUCAUAUUAUUAAUUGACGUGUAAUGGUUUCAUUGGUUUGGAGCACCACCCCCAUCUAGGUGAGGUGGUAUACCGGGAAUAGAGAAUAAUUUCCCAUAUAUCGCAAUUCUCUCUCUUGGUCGGUAGAGCUCUUUCUUUUAUGCUCCCCCUUCGCUAUCUUUUUGUUCUUCCAAAAUUUCGUCUCAACCUCAGCCUCUCGGAUCACACUGCAUGUCUUCCCCUGCGUCCUCUUCUUCCUCCCCUGUCUGAGAUUGGAUCUACUGAAUAGAAGACAACCAUGUCCGAAUCUCACUCUGCUACCUGCAUGUCUUCGGUCACCUCAACACACGCCCUUGCCUUCUCCCCUGGCUCAGACCAGUCAGUCAACGACUCCCACUUGUGCCGUUUCGAUUCUCUCCAUCUGGGCAACAAAUCCCAACUACCGGUAGCCUCCCUUGCCCCUGGAAUCAAGCGAAUGGACUUCGACGUGACAAUUUGUCAGAAUUGUGGUGAUAGAGGCUUCUCCAAGGCGCUGAUUUUUUGUCAUGAAUGCCAGGCUUAUGCUGUGCAUUGGUAAGUGGCACUGUUGUCCAUUUGAUCUAUUUGUGAUAUUGGCAGAACUGUGUUGCUCACCACACGGGCCUUAUAAAUGUUAAAGAUCAAUGCAUAACAAAAUAUGAAACUUAAACAGUGCUGAAGCAUCAAUGCUUGGUUAGUUGGUUAUAUAUGUAUAUUUGAGCAUGGAUCUUACUACCCUCAACUCUUUAAUGAAGGCAAAAAAGAGAGGGGGUGGGGGGCUGCAGGGUUAAUCUUCAGUGAGCAGUUCUAUAAUGUUGGCUAAACAUUUGGUUUUAUUUACCAUGUUAUAUUGGUAUCUGACCCUAUUAUUUGUCCUAUAUAUAUAUAUAUA
rnacentral:misc_RNA from 1 species